rnacentral:rRNA from 1 species
CCUACGGGCGGCAGCAGUGAGGAAUAUUGGUCAAUGGACGAGAGUCUGAACCAGCCAAGUAGCGUGAAGGAUGACGGCCCUAUGGGUUGUAAACUUCUUUUAUAUGGGAAUAAAAUGUUCCACGUGUGGGAUAUUGUAUGUACCAUAUGAAUAACGAUCGGCUAAUUCCGUGCCAGCAGCCGCUGUAAUACGGAGGGUCCGAGCGUUAUCCGGAUUUAGUGGGUUUAAAGGGAGCGUAGGUGGAUUGUUAAGUCAGUUGUGAAAGUUUGCGGCUCAACCGUAAAAUUGCAGUUGAAACUGGCAGUCUUGAGUACAGUAGAGGUAGGCGGAAUUCGUGGUGUAGCGGUGAAAUGCUUAGAUAUCACGAAGAACUCCGAUUGCGAAGGCAGCUCACUGGACUGCAACUGACACUGAGGCUCGAAAGUGUGGGUAUCAAACAGGAUUAGAUACCCCUGUAGUC